GAUGAACGCUGGCGGCGUGCCUAAUACAUGCAAGUCGAGCGAACAGAUAAGGAGCUUACUCCUUUGACGUUAGCGGCGGACGGGUGAGUAACACGUGGAUAACCUACCUAUAAGACUGUGAUAACUUCGGGAAACCGGAGCUAAUACCGGAUAACAUAUUGAACCGCGUGGUUCAAUAGUGAAAGGCGGCUUUGCUGUCACUUAUAGAUGGAUCCGCGCCGUAUUAGCUAGUUGGUAAGGUAAGGGCUUACCAAGGCAACGAUACGUAGCCGAGCUGAGAGGGUGAUCGGCCACACUGGAACUGAGACACGGUCCAGACUCCUACGGGAGGCAGCAGUAGGGAAUCUUCCGCAAUGGGCGAAAGCCUGACGGAGCAACGCCGCGUGAGUGAUGAAGGUCUUCGGAUCGUAAAACUCUGUUAUCAGGGAAGAACAAAUGUGUAAGUAACUGUGCACAUCUUGACGGUACCUGAUCAGAAAGCCACGGCUAACUACGUGCCAGCCGCCGCCGUAA
rnacentral:rRNA from 1 species